rnacentral:rRNA from 1 species
CUGCCGGUGUCAAACCGGAGGAAGGUGGGGAUGACGUCAAGUCCUCAUGGCCCUUACGCCCAGGGUGGCAAACGUGCUACAAUGGCGUGUACAAAGCGAUGCAAUAUCGUGAGAUGGAGCAAAUCGCAAAAAGCACGCCCCAGUUCGGAUUGGAGUCUGCAACUCGACUCCAUGAAGCCGGAAUCGCUAGUAAUCGGAGAUCAGCCACGCUCCGGUGAAUACGUUCCUGAGCCUUGUACACACCGCCCGUCAAGUCAUGGAAGCCGGGAGUGCCCGAAGUCGCUCUGAUUCAGGAGUGCCCACGGCAAGUUCGGUAACUGGGACUAAGUCGUAACAAGGUAG